rnacentral:misc_RNA from 1 species
GAUAAGAACGUAGCGAAAUGCGAUAAGUAGUGUGAAUUGCAGAAUUCAGUGAAUCAUCGAAUCUUUGAACGCACAUUGCGCCCGCCAGUAUUCUGGCGGGCAUGCCUGUUCGAGCGUCAUUUCAACCCUCAAGCCCUCGGGUUUGGUGUUGGGGAUCGGCGAGCCUUUCUGGCAAGCCGGCCCCGAAAUCUAGUGGCGGUCUCGCUGCAGCCUCCAUUGCGUAGUAGUAAAACCCUCGCAACUGGAACGCGGCGCGGCCAAGCCGUUAAACCCCCAACUUCUGAAUGUUGACCUCGGAUCAGGUAGGAAUACCCGCUGAACUUAAGCAUAUCAAUAAGCGGAGGA